CGGGGACAAGUCCCUGCCUGCCUCCCAGCAGCCCGCGUGCGGCCCAGCUCCUCCCUCACGGUGGCCUGUUGAUGCCCAACUCAUGCCUCUGGCACCCUGCCCAGAGGCGUGAGUCCCUGCCUCACACCGACCCCUCCCACGCUGAGGAAGGUCGGCAUGAGCCCCUUGCCUCACACCGGCCCCUCCCACGCUGAGAGAGGUCAGCGUGAGCCCCUUGCCUCACACCGGCCCCUCCCACGCCGAGAGAGGUCAGCAUGAGCCCUUGCCUCCCACCGGCCCCUCCCACGCUGAGAGAGGUCAGCGUGAGCCCUUGCCUCACACCGGCCCCUCCCACGCUGAGAGAGGUCAGCGUGACCCCUUGCCUCACACCGGCCCCUCCCACGCUGAGAGGUGGGCGUGAGCCCCUUGCCUCACACUGGCCCCUCCCACACUGACCCCUUGCCUCACACCGGC
rnacentral:lncRNA from 1 species